CCUACGGGGGGCAGCAGUGGGGAAUAUUGGACAAUGGGGGCAACCCUGAUCCAGCCAUGCCGCGUGUGUGAAGAAGGCCCUCGGGUUGUAAAGCACUUUCAGUGAGGAAGAACGCCUGGUGGUUAAUACCCAUCAGGAAAGACAUCACUCACAGAAGAAGCACCGGCUAACUCCGUGCCAGCAGCCGCGGUAAUACGGAGGGUGCGAGCGUUAAUCGGAAUUACUGGGCGUAAAGCGCGCGUAGGUGGCUUGAUAAGCCGGUUGUGAAAGCCCCGGGCUCAACCUGGGAACGGCAUCCGGAACUGUCAAGCUAGAGUGCAGGAGAGGAAGGUAGAAUUCCCGGUGUAGCGGUGAAAUGCGUAGAGAUCGGGAGGAAUACCAGUGGCGAAGGCAGCCUUAUGGACUGACACUGACACUGAGGUGCGAAAGCGUGGGUAGCAAACAGGAUUAGAUACCCCAGUAGUC
rnacentral:rRNA from 1 species